GGCAGUUCUGGGGUGACACAUCCAGGAAUCGGGCUCCCUCCUCUCUGGUUCUGGGUGCGUUACCCAAGAACCGCA
rfam:Myotis lucifugus cont2.5476, whole genome shotgun sequence.